CUGGCAUUCGCCUCCCCGG
rnacentral:snRNA from 1 species